UACGUAGUGGGCAAGCGUUGUCCGGAAUCAUUGGGCGUAAAGAGCGUGUAGGCGGCCCGAUAAGUCCGCUGUGAAAGUCCAGGGCUCAACCCUGGGAUGCCGGUGGAUACUGUCGGGCUCGAGUCCGGAAGAGGAGUGUGGAAUUCCUGGUGUAGCGGUGAAAUGCGCAGAUAUCAGGAGGAACACCAAUGGCGAAGGCAGCACUCUGGGACGUGACUGACGCUGAGACGCGAAAGCGUGGGGAGCAAACAGG
rnacentral:rRNA from 1 species